rnacentral:rRNA from 1 species
UACGUAGGGGGCAAGCGUUGUCCGGAUUUAUUGGGCGUAAAGAGCGUGUAGGCGGCCUUGCAAGUCCGUUGUGAAAACUCGAGCUCAACCUCGAGACGCCGGUGGAAACUGCAAAGCUAGAGUCCGGAAGAGGAGAGUGGAAUUCCUGGUGUAGCGGUGAAAUGCGCAGAUAUCAGGAAGAACACCCGUGGCGAAGGCGGCCUGCUGGGCAGUGGCUGACACUGAGGCGCGACAGCGUGGGGGAGCAAAC